rnacentral:rRNA from 1 species
UUUCCUACGGGUGGCUGCAGUGGGGAAUUUUGGACAAUGGGCGCAAGCCUGAUCCAGCAAUGCCGCGUGUGUGAAGAAGGCCUUCGGGUUGUAAAGCACUUUUGUCCGGAAAGAAAUCCGUCUGGCUAAUACCCGGACGGGAUGACGGUACCGGAAGAAUAAGCACCGGCUAACUACGUGCCAGCAGCCGCGGUAAUACGUAGGGUGCGAGCGUUAAUCGGAAUUACUGGGCGUAAAGCGUGCGCAGGCGGCUUUGUAAGACAGAUGUGCAAUCCCCGGGCUCAACCUGGGAACUGCAUUUGUGACUGCAAGGCUAGAGUGCGUCAGAGGGAGGUGGAAUUCCGCGUGUAGCAGUGAAAUGCGUAGAGAUGCGGAGGAACACCGAUGGCGAAGGCAGCCUCCUGGGAUGACACUGACGCUCAUGCACGAAAGCGUGGGGAGCAAACAGGAUUAGAUACCCCAGUAGUC